rnacentral:lncRNA from 8 species
UAAUGCAGAACGAAGAGAGAAAGAACAAGAAAGAGAGAGGGAAGUCAAACAAUUAAAUAGUAAAGUAUGAGUGAGAGAGGAGGAGAAGUGCCAUUGACCAGUACAGCGCCAGUACAGUAGAAAAUAAAUCUUCGUUCGACCAUGAACUGCACUUUGGCUUCUAAAGAACUAUGACCUCUCUUAAAUCCUAUGCAGCACCUUUCCUGGGAAAUCACACUAUCUUGACUUCUAGCUAACCACAAGGCUUCAGACAGAUGGAUCGUUUCUUACUACUCAUCACAUUUGAUGGGUACGCCCAAAUCAACCACAAGUUACUUAAAUCUCAACCCACCAUCCAAUGGUAUAUUAUUACUUCAUAAUUGUUUUACCAAAUAACGUUAUGAUGAUGUUGGCACAAAAUGUACUGUAUUUUGGACUAUAAAACACGUUUGGUGACCAGGAUCUUGCAUUUGGUGCUCGAUCAAUACAUUUCAGUACAGUAGGUUCAUCAUAUUACUUAAAUCCACACAAGUGCAAUAUAUUUGGAUUAAUCAAUUUUCAAAUGUCAAGACCAUGGUAGAAGACAAUGAUUCCAGCACAAUGAAGAUAUUGGAUAUUGAUGACGGCACGUAUAGCAUGACCAGAACAAGAGAUGGCGUUAAAUAUUCAGGUACCAACACACACACACUAGUGGUGCGGGUCUGCAUUUGUUAAUAAUCCAUCUGCAACCACCUGACUAUAUGUGAUAAUGUCACGUCCUGACCAGUAUAAGGGUUAUUUGUUAUUGUAGUUUGGUCAGGACGUGGCAGAGGGUAUUUGUUUUAUGUGGUUCGGGGUGGUGGUUUAUUUAGUAGGGCGUUUGAUUUAUUAUUUCCGGGUUUUGGUUUAUGUUCUAUGUUUUGUACUUCAAUGUUCUUUCUGGGUUGGUGUAUUUCUAUGUGUAGGUUAAUGGGGGGUUGGACUCUCAAUUGGAGGCAGGUGCUUUCUCGUUGCCUCUGAUUGAGAGUCCUAUAUAUGGGUAAUUGUUUGGUUUAGUGUUUGUGGGAGAUUGUUUCUUGUUUUGCCUGUGUGAGCCUUACAAGACUGUUUUGUGUUUCGUUUUGUUGUUUUUGGUGUUCUCUUGGUUUAAAAUAAAUGAUAAGAUGAGCAUCCACAUUCCUGCUGCGUUUUGGUCCUCCAUUCCAGACGACAACCGUGACAGAUGAAGUGAAAAUCUGGAGGACCGUACCCGACCCUAACCCACUAAUAUAAAAAAUGCAUCAUAGGCUAUAGUCAGAGACAGCAGAAAGAUUUUUUGACAUGAUUUAGAAAUGUUUCUGCUUUUAAUUUCCAGACAUUUUGGUAGGCUAAUUGUUAGUCAACUUGUCUAUAAUUAGAUGCAUGCAGCUUCUCUUCUGUCAUUAUACUGUAUGUUGCCCUAGAACAGGGCUUCCCAAACUUGGUCCUGUGGCCCCGUUGGGUGCACGUUUUGAUUUUUGCCCUAGCACUACACAGCUGAUUCAAAUAAUCAAAGCUUGAUGGUGAGUUGGUUAUUUCAAUCAGCUGUAUAGUGCUAGGGCAAACACCAAAAGGUGCACCCAGGGGGGCCCCAGGACUGAGUUUGAGAAAUCCUGUUCUAGGAGACUAAAUAAACCCUUGCUCACCAGAGUAAUGUCAUACAUCUAUAGAAUUAAUGCUUCAAUCUUGUUGAGAUUGAUCAAGUUCUCUCUGUCAAACGUUUAGGGACCGGGGAGAAAAUGCAAUAAUCAAAAAGAAGUGAAAGAUUUUCUGUGCAGAAGUUCCAAAUGGCAUCAGUUUGACUGGUUGUAA